rnacentral:rRNA from 1 species
AUUAGCGGAUGACUUGUGGCUGGGGGUGAAAGGCCAAUCAAACCGGGAGAUAGCUGGUUCUCCCCGAAAGCUAUUUAGGUAGCGCCUCGUGAAUUCAUCUCCGGGGGUAGAGCACUGUUUCGGCAAGGGGGUCAUCCCGACUUACCAACCCGAUGCAAACUGCGAAUACCGGAGAAUGUUAUCACGGGAGACACACGGCGGGUGCUAACGUCCGUCGUGAAGAGGGAAACAACCCAGACCGCCAGCUAAGGUCCCAAAGUCAUGGUUAAGUGGGAAACGAUGUGGGAAGGCCCAGACAGCCAGGAUGUUGGCUUAGAAGCAGCCAUCAUUUAAAGAAAGCGUAAUAGCUCACUGGUCGAGUCGGCCUGCGCGGAAGAUGUAACGGGGCUAAACCAUGCACCGAAGCUGCGGCAGCGACACUAUGUGUUGUUGGGUAGGGGAGCGUUCUGUAAGCCUGUGAAGGUGGCCUGUGAGGGUUGCUGGAGGUAUCAGAAGUGCGAAUGCUGACAUAAGUAACGAUAAAGCGGGUGAAAAGCCCGCUCGCCGGAAGACCAAGGGUUCCUGUCCAACGUUAAUCGGGGCAGGGUGAGUCGACCCCUAAGGCGAGGCCGAAAGGCGUAGUCGAUGGGAAACAGGUUAAUAUUCCUGUACUUGGUGUUACUGCGAAGGGGGGACGGAGAAGGCUAUGUUGGCCGGGCGACGGUUGUCCCGGUUUAAGCGUGUAGGCUGGUUUUCCAGGCAAAUCCGGAAAACCAAGGCUGAGGCGUGAUGACGAGGCACUACGGUGCUGAAGU